rnacentral:rRNA from 1 species
UAGCGAAGGGGGCUAGCGUUGCUCGGAAUCACUGGGCGUAAAGCGCACGUAGGCGGAUUGCUAAGUCAGGGGUGAAAUCCUGGAGCUCAACUCCAGAACUGCCUUUGAUACUGGCGAUCUCGAGUCCGGGAGAGGUGAGUGGAACUGCGAAGUGUAGAGGUGAAAUUCGUAGAUAUUCGCAAGAACACCAGUGGCGAAGGCGGCUCACUGGCCCGGUACUGACGCUGAGGUGGCGAAAGCGGUGGGGAGCAAACAGG